GACGAACGCUGGCGGCGUGCUUAACACAUGCAAGUCGAACGGAAAGGCUCCAGCUUGCUGGAGUACUCGAGUGGCGAACGGGUGAGUAACACGUGGGUAAUCUGCCCUGCACUCUGGGAUAAGCCUGGGAAACUGGGUCUAAUACUGGAUAUGACCUUUCUCCUUAUGGGGUUUGGUGGAAAGUUUUUCGGUGUAGGAUGAGCCCGCGGCCUAUCAGCUUGUUGGUGGGGUGAUGGCCUACCAAGGCGACGACGGGUAGCCGGCCUGAGAGGGUGAUCGGCCACAUUGGGACUGAGAUACGGCCCAGACUCCUACGGGAGGUAGCAGUGGGGAAUAUUGCACAAUGGGCGGAAGCCUGAUGCAGCGACGCCGCGUGAGGGAUGUCGGCCUUCGGGUUGUAAACCUCUUUCAGCAGGGACGAAGCGUAAGUGACGGUACCUGCAGAAGAAGCACCGGCUAACUAUGUG
rnacentral:rRNA from 1 species